UCAGGAUGGAUACUGAGGAAGUCUCUAAAAACAGUGUCUUGGAGGACAACAUCUUUGAUGGACAGAAGAAUUAGGCAAGGGAUUCAGGCUGGAAGGACCUUGGAAAGGCCUGCAAAAAAGGCACUAAAAGACAGAAAAAUGAAUUCUGCCUCAAGAAACUGCAAAGUAGAGGGACAACAACUUGCUCAAAAAUAACAUUCUCAGGCUGAAAUCUUGCAGAACAGCAACCUAUAAAACAAUUAGAUGCACUAAUUGCCACAGGUGGAUGGAAACACUUCACCAGCUUCUCCUGAUUUGCUGAAGUCAUGGACCGAGGCAGUGAUUUGUCAGACGUCCUCUUGGCUUAUAUGUAAAGGCUAAUGAUGAAAAUAUGUAAUCAGCUUAGGCAAGAUCCAGUCCUGGAUAACCAUUUAACAUUGAAACCUGACCUACUACAAAAUGGAAAUCAGUAUCAUCAUCAACGCUGGAUAAAUCUGUGCAAGAAUUGUUACACUGAAAGGUGGCCAUAUUUCCAUACUGGGGGCGAAUCACUUACCAUUCCCGGCAGCAAUGGGCUGCAGUUAUUGACCAAUUUGGAAAACGCAGAUGUACUAUCUAUUCUGUGUACCUAUUACAUCCACUAUGUUUUCAAAGAAACAGCCAGCCCCAAGGUUCGUGGGAAAAGGGACUCCAUCUGGGCCCUUCAAGUGGAUCAAAGACUUUCUUCUUGCUUGGAAGACUGGAAGGGUCAACCCUCCUCUUCCCCUUGUCAUAACAAUACAGCCAAUGUUAUUGCUUAUUAG
rnacentral:lncRNA from 1 species